UGGGGAAUAUUAGACAAUGGGCGAAAGCCUGAUCCAGCCAUGCCGCGUGUGUGAAGAAGGCCUUUUGGUUGUAAAGCACUUUAAGCGAGGAGGAGGCUACUUAGAUUAAUACUCUAGGAUAGUGGACGUUACUCGCAGAAUAAGCACCGGCUAACUCUGUGCCAGCAGCCGCGGUAAUACAGAGGGUGCGAGCGUUAAUCGGAUUUACUGGGCGUAAAGCGUGCGUAGGCGGCUUUUUAAGUCGGAUGUGAAAUCCCUGAGCUUAACUUAGGAAUUGCAUUCGAUACUGGGAAGCUAGAGUAUGGGAGAGGAUGGUAGAAUUCCAGGUGUAGCGGUGAAAUGCGUAGAGAUCUGGAGGAAUACCGAUGGCGAAGGCAGCCAUCUGGCCUAAUACUGACGCUGAGGUACGAAAGCAUGGGGAGCAAACAGG
rnacentral:rRNA from 1 species